AGAAAGGUAAGCUAACGAAGCUAAUGGGUUCAUACCCCGUAAAUAGGAUCAUCCUCCUUUUUA
rnacentral:tRNA from 1 species